GUGAGGAAUAUUGGACAAUGGGCGCAAGCCUGAUCCAGCCAUGCCGCGUGCAGGAAGACGCAUCUAUGGUGUGUAAACUGCUUUUGUACGGGAAGAAACACUCCCUCGUGAGGGAGCUUGACGGUACCGUAAGAAUAAGGAUCGGCUAACUCCGUGCCAGCAGCCGCGGUAAUACGGAGGAUCCAAGCGUUAUCCGGAAUCAUUGGGUUUAAAGGGUCCGUAGGCGGUUUAAUAAGUCAGUGGUGAAAGCCCAUCGCUCAACGAUGGAACGGCCAUUGAUACUGUUAGACUUGAAUUACAAGGAAGUAACUAGAAUAUGUAGUGUAGCGGUGAAAUGCUUAGAUAUUACAUGGAAUACCAAUUGCGAAGGCAGGUUACUACUUGUGGAUUGACGCUGUUGGACGAAAGCGUGGGGAGCGAACAGGAUUAGAAACCCUGGUAGUCC
rnacentral:rRNA from 1 species